ACAGUGGACGCGAAACAAGCAUCUUUGUGGCCAAGUUAAUAAGGGCGCACGGUGGAUGCCUUGGCACCAGGAGCCGAUGAAGGACGUAGGAGCCUGCGAUAAGCCUCGGGAAGCUGGCAACCAAGCUGUGAUCCGAGGAUUUCCGAAUGGGGAAACCCGGCUGGAGUCAUGUCCAGUCACCCAUGCCUGAACACAUAGGGCAUGCGGAGGGAACGUGGGGAAGUGAAACAUCUCAGUACCCACAGGAAGAGAAAGCAACCGCGAUUCCCUGAGUAGUGGUGAGCGAAAAGGGAAGAGGCCAAACCGAUUACGUGUCAAAGCCAGCAGGCGUUGCGUGAUCGGGGAAGCGGGACCGUCCAGCCGGAGCUGCUGAUCCGGCAGGGAGUUAUAAAUCGUUUGGGUAACCGAAGACGUUGGAAAGCGUCGGCACAGAGGGUGAUACCCCCGUAGGUGAAACUCAGGCGACUCCCGGACGGGAUCCCAAGUAGCACGGAGCCCGAGAAAUUCCGUGUGAAUCUGGGAGGACC
rnacentral:rRNA from 2 species